UCUAGCUGGAGAAAUUUCCAUUUUCAGUAGAGGCCCGGGGAGAAAAGCUCCACAGAGUGAGAUACAUUCAGAGACAAAAAAUUAUCAUACAAAAAAAUUUAUAACAUUCCAU